AUUGAACGCUGGCGGCAGGCCUAACACAUGCAAGUCGAACGGCAGCGGGGGGUAGCUUGCUGCCCCGCCGGCGAGUGGCGGACGGGUGAGUAAUGCCUGGGGAGCUGCCCAAUCGAGGGGGAUACCAGUUGGAAACGACUGCUAAUACCGCAUACGCCCUGAGGGGGAAAGGUGGGGAUCUUCGGACCUACCGCGAUUGGAUGCACCCAGGUGGGAUUAGCCAGUUGGUGAGGUAACGGCUCACCAAGGCGACGAUCUCUAGCUGGUCUGAGAGGAUGACCAGCCACACGGGAACUGAGACACGGUCCAGACUCCUACGGGAGGCAGCAGUGGGGAAUAUUGCACAAUGGGGGAAACCCUGAUGCAGCCAUGCCGCGUGUGUGAAGAAGGCCUUCGGGUUGUAAAGCACUUUCAGCGAGGAGGAAAGGUGGCUAGCUAAUACCUAGUUGCUGUGACGUUACUCGCAGAAGAAGCACCGGCUAACUCCGUGCCAGCAGCCGCCGCCG
rnacentral:rRNA from 1 species